ACCACACCCAACCCCCACCUUAACCAAACCCGUCGACACCUCCCACAGCCUACAAGCGGGCAACUAAUCAGCCACUUCCCAAAAUUACCACAACUCCACAGCCUUCAACCACCACCAAACUACCAUUUCCUUGUCUUCUAGCCAUCGCCCAAACUAACCCAACCUCCACCCCCACCCAUCAUCCAACCAAACACAAUCCAAAGCCAUGGAUUGCCACCACCAAACCCAUAGUCGACUUGGUGGACGAUGACCCGUCUAUCUCUAAUUAAUCAGUUCAAUUCUACAAGAAAUUACCAAUGGAGAAUCCGACCACCACCAUCUCUUCCGCGACUGCAACCUAGAAAAUUCGUUCGAGUACUGACCAAUAUGAUUCACUUUCCAUAAUAGAAACCCUCUAAGCAAAUCAAGCUAUUGCGAUAACCAGGAUGUUCUUUUCCCUCCUUGAAACCAAAUGGCAUUGCCCUUAUGCUUGGUGUAGAGAGUCCCCUUCGCAAAUCCAUGGCUCUUAGCUUGGAUCUUGCUAAUUGCCAAGAGAUCACAAAAUUGGUCAAAAAAUGGAUUUUAUGGACUAGAAAACUGAAACCAUGUACACCAUGGGAGAAGAGGAAUAGGUAAGGAUCGCUCAAGUAGAUCUUCUGGAAUUCUUGUAACUUUUGGAAAAUGUAGCAAAACUCUAAU
rnacentral:lncRNA from 1 species